GUUUUCUGCGGGGUCGAGCCGCGGUCGUCUUCCUCAAGUUUUGGGUUGUCCUUCAAGCGGAGCCAGCCUGAGAGCUAGUGGAGUUUCCCUGGGGAUGCCGGGGACGGAGAGGAGAGAGGCGAGAGCGGCCGGUGGGGAGUCAUAAAGUUUUGAGAGGGUUUGGGGCCGCCCAGUCUCCCGUGGUCA
rnacentral:lncRNA from 1 species